UACGGGGGGGGCAAGCGUUGUUCGGAAUUACUGGGCGUAAAGGGCUCGUAGGCGGCCAACUAAGUCAGACGUGAAAUCCCCAGGCUUAACCUGGGAACUGCAUCCGAUACUGGAUGGCUUGAAUCCGGGAGAGGGAUGCAGAAUUCCAGGUGUAGCGGUGAAAUGCGUAGAUAUCUGGAGGAAUACCGGUGGCGAAGGCGGCAUCCUGGACCGGCAUUGACGCUGAUGAGCGAAAGCUAGGGGAGCAAACGGGG
rnacentral:rRNA from 1 species